GUGAGGAAUAUUGGUCAAUGGGCGGGAGCCUGAACCAGCCAAGUCGCGUGAAGGAAGAAGGAUCUAUGGUUCGUAAACUUCUUUUGCAGGGGAAUAAAGUGCGGGACGUGUCCUGUUUUGUAUGUACCCUGAGAAUAAGGAUCGGCUAACUCCGUGCCAGCAGCCGCGGUAAUACGGAGGAUCCGAGCGUUAUCCGGAUUUAUUGGGUUUAAAGGGUGCGUAGGUGGAUUGAUAAGUCAGCGGUGAAAGGUUGCAGCUUAACUGUAAAAAUGCCGUUGAAACUGUCGGACUUGAGUGUAAAUGAGGUAGGCGGAAUGCGUGGUGUAGCGGUGAAAUGCAUAGAUAUCACGCAGAACUCCGAUUGCGAAGGCAGCUUACUAAGCUACAACUGACACUGAAGCACGAAAGCGUGGGGAUCAAACAGGAUUAGAUACCCGGGUAGUCC
rnacentral:rRNA from 1 species